AGUGCCAAAAAUUUAGAGUCCUUUUUGAAACAAUAGAUCGAAACAAAAACUGGGGGGUGGAGAGCCAAAAUUUUCAAACCCUUUUCCAUAUAAAGAUCCUUUAUGGUGGUUAAGGCCUUAAAAACAGCCUCAGCUUUAGGGCUCCAUGCUUUGCCUCCAAAAAAAACCCUUCACUGUCCAUGUCUCUCUCUCUCUUUUUCCUGUGGAAACGUGCCGUGUCACUACUGUACAUUAAAGAGAGAAACGUGCAUGCGGGAAUAUAAGAUUAGGUGGAGUUAGCAUAGUAUGCGUGCACCACGAUAAUAUUACACAGCUGCCUUAACAUAAAGCUUUCCCCUCCUUCUACUACUACACUUUCCAUUUUAAUAUAAAUGAUCAUACUUGCAUAGACAUCUACAUGUUUUUGAGUCCCUUCUCUUCUUCUUCUUCUUCUCUCAAGUCUCAACCAAAUUAAGUGGUAAUCAACUGCACCGGUCUUCAAUUUCUAUUCUCACGCCAUGGUGGUAGCAUUCAACUUUGUGGUUAUCAAAACCAUGUUUAAUUCCUUCCUUCAAGAAAGGCCAUUUAGACAAUAUCCUACUCAUUUCCAUGAGAGGAGUAACCUUUCAAGCUUCCAUUCGUGCAAGCUAGAGAUGGUUCUUCCAUAACGAAGGAUAAUUACAUGCAUGGGUGCAUCCAUGCCAGGGGAAUCGAGCGUUCCUGGUCCGACUGAUUACUAUAUAUUUAUGUGAAUUUUGCUUCUACAGUUGUACAAUUAUCAGUCCUUGUCUUCAUUACAGAUUGAUCCUCUCUUUGUUUCUGUUCUUUUCCUUAUCUAGCAUUAUUGAUUUUCUUUUGAGAGUUAGGACUGUAUGAUCUGUAUUUGAUUUUAUAUCAUCGUAAGUGCUCUUGUAAUAGUGGAAAAAAGAGAAGUGGUUAUAUUGGCUUGAUGAUUAAUAUGUGUCGAUGCAGACAAUUGUUAUUAUUAGGCUGUAAGAAGUGUGUGAGAGUGCUUAAUGAAUUAAAAAAAUUCCAUGUUGUACUCUAAUCAAUAUACUCUUCUGUAUUCCUUCUUCUA